rnacentral:rRNA from 1 species
CUCGAAAUUAAAAGAGCUAAUUAAAUAAAUUUUUAUUGUAAAAUAAAUAUUAUAAAUAUUUAGUUAGUAAUGAAAUGUUAUUCGUUUUUAAUUAUAUCUAGUUUUUUAAGAAAAAAAUUUAAUUUUGAUGAUUUAUAAUAAUAUCUUAAAUUUUUAAUUUAUUAUUAAAAUUAUUUAAUAUUUUUAGGGAUAAGCUUGAAAUUAAAUUUUUAUUGAAUUAUAGAAUUAAUUAAAUAUAUAGGAUUAGAACUUUUUAUUUAUUUAUAGUUUAUUAUAAUUAUUUUAUAUGAUUUAUUAUUUUUAUUUUUUAUAAAUAUUUUAUUAAAAAAUUAGUAUUAAUUUUAUUUAUUAAGAUAUAAUGAUUAAAUUAGUAUAAAUAUAUUUAAUUAUUAGUUUAUAAUUAAGAUUAUAUAAAGGAAUUCGGCAAAUUUAUUUUUUACCUGUUUAUUAAAAACAUGGCUUUUUGAUGAUAAUUUAAAGUCUUACCUGCCCUAUGAGAUUACUUAAAUGGCCGCGGUAUUUUGACCGUGCAAAGGUAGCAUAAUCAUUAGUUUCUUAAUUAGAAGCUGGAAUGAAAGGUUUGAUAAAAAAAUAACUGUCUCUAUAUAAUAAUUAAAAUUUUAUUUUUAAGUUAAAAAGCUUAACUAUAUUUAAAAGACGAGAAGACCCUAUAGAGUUUGAUAUUUAUUAAUUUAAUUUAAUUUUUUGUAUAGAUUUUAUUAUUUAAAAUUAAAUAUUAGGUUGGGGUGAUUGAAAAAUUAGUUAAACUUUUUUUAUUUAUUUCAUUAAUUUUUGUCUAUUUGAUCCAAAUUUUUUGAUUAUAAGAAGAAAUUACCUUAGGGAUAACAGCGUAAUUUUUUUAUAGAGCUCAAAUCGAAAAAAAAGAUUGCGACCUCGAUGUUGGAUUAAAAUUUAUAUUUGGUAGUAGAAGCUAAAUUAUUAGGUCUGUUCGACCUUUGAAAUUUUACAUGAUCUGAGUUUAAACCGGUGUAAGCCAGGUUGGUUUCUAUCUUUAAUUAAUAUUAUUAAUUUAGUACGAAAGGAUUGAUUAAUAGAUUUAUAAUUUUAUUUUGAAUAUUAUU